AUACGACCAUACCCACUGGAGAACUCGGGAUCCCGUCCGCUCUCCCAUAGAUAAGCCAGUGAGGGCCGGAUCAGUAGUUGGGUCGGUGACGACCAGCGAAUACCUGGUGUUGUAUG
rnacentral:rRNA from 1 species